AUAAUUUUGAGGAGGGUGGUAAAAAAUAUUCCUUGGCUAAAACCCUAAAAAAUUUCCUCUACCUUCUUCUCAACAAAACAGUCGCCGCCACCCAUCACCAUUACAACAACUACAACAGCUCGCUCUCUCUCUCUCAUUGUUACCACCUCACACUAGAGAAACCAAACGACCCCUCUCAUCUCUUCCUUACUUUUAUUUUUGCAAUAGCUAGCACAUCACCAGAAACAACCACACCAGACUUACACAAAAUAGCAGAACACAACAACCAAAAUGACCACACAACCUUUCUUUUUCCUAUUCUCUCGUUACCAAACCACCGCAUACCAUAAUCGGCAAACCAACCGGAAAACUUCGAGAUAAAAUGUGUACUAAAGAGAAUACUCUCUUCUGUCAUGGCUUGCUAUAAAAAAUGAUUCUUCUUUCUCUAUGGUUUCAAGGCAAGCUCACAAGUUACGGCGAAAAUCCAAGUCCUAACUUUCAGAUCUGCCCGAAAAAAAGUGACACCCAGACCUUAUUGGUUAUGCAGAUGCAAGUUAUUUAUCAAAUCCACAUAAAGCUCGAUCUCAAACAGGUUAUCUAUUUACAUACGGAGGAACUGCUAUAUCAUGGCGAUCUACAAAACAGUCUAUUGUUGCUAUUUCUUCAAAUCAUGCUGAAAUAAUAGCAAUUUAUUAAGCAAGUAGAGAAUGUGUGUGGUUGAGAUCGAUAAUAUAUUUCAUUAAAGAAAGAUGUUGCCUGAAAAAUGAUGUUAAAGUUCCCACAUUUAUAUUCGAAGACAAUGCUGCGUUUAUAUCUCAAUUGAAAGGUGGCUUCAUAAAAGGAGAUAGAACGAAAUAUAUUUCACCAAAAUUAUUCUUCACACAUGAUCUCCAGAAGAAUAGUGAUAUUGAUGUACAAAAAGUUCGUUCAAUUGAUAAUCUUGCAGAUUUAUUUACAAAGG